rnacentral:lncRNA from 1 species
AACUGCUUCAAUGCAAUUUUAAUAUUGUUACCAGGAAAGAAGCAGCAUUAAUAGCACAGGGGGAAAAGGCCUAUUUAUGUAGCAUUUAGAAAGAUGACAGAAUACAAGGCUGAUUUGCAUCUUUAUUCUUUCCCUCCUUCGGGUCGUCUGUCCGCACACCCCCACCUCCUUCUCCCGCCGCCCUUCUUCCUUCAGUUUUUCCCAUCUUCCUUAUUAUCGUCUUUUACAUUUUUGGCAUUCUCUUGCCAUGAGACUCAACUCUAUUCCUUAUAGGUAGCACUGGUAAGCCACAGCUCUGAACUGCUUUAUUUUGUAAAGCAGAGACUUCUACGGGGUUAAGUUUGUUGAGCAACAGAUCUACCUAAGAUUCUGUUUCACUGGGAUACCAGCCUCCCACUCCUGAAUCACAGGCUCUCACACAAUAGGAGUCGUUGAAGCCCUCUGUUCCCAGGUCUGGUGGCUGGGAAACCUGACAAAGCCGCGGCCCGCGCAGGGCACCUUCAGCUCCGAGGGCGGGACCCGGCCGGGAAGCCAGCCUGAGUGCGCCGGCGCCCACCCAGCGCGGCGCUCCAGGACCUUCUAGGGGCUUCUCGACUUUUCCUCAGUUAGCUGGAGUAGGGGGGUGCUCCCUCAGCUCCAGUAUUCCUCAGCACUGCUUCUCUGUUAUUUCUUUACCCUUACCUUCAGCAUCAGCCCCCUGCCCACUCCGACCCCCAAGAGGCCCCCAGCCCGGCCGUGACCCCGAGGAGCCUCUCCUCGCUGGGACUCCUGAGGACAGGGUCCUGCGCUGGGUCCCCAGAGAGCCUUCCUCCUUCGCCCCCCUCCCGGGCACCCAGGCGAAGGGCAGCGGGGGAGCCCGGGAAGGGGAGCGGGAAGAGGGGAGCGGGAAGGGCGCGGGGCCAGGCGGGAGGAGAGGAGCAGAGGCCAGACAGGGGCUCUCGGUUUCCCGGGGUCUGAUUGGAGGUUGGCCCGAUGAGUCGGAGCUGGGGGCGCGCCCAUCUCCGCUGGCUCCUGCGAGAGCCGCCCGCUCGGCCCCUCCCCGGAGCCGCUUUGUCCCGGGUGACGGCGGCGGAGGUUGCGGCGAGCAGAGGGCGGGAGGCAGAGACCCGCCGACCCGCGGAGCCGGAGCCGGAGCCCGAGCCGGAGCCCGGGAGGCGGGGCGCGCCGCGCACGGCCCCACGCCCAGGCCCGCGGGCACCGCGCCCGUCCCCGCGCGCGCUCGGCCCGGCCGCCAGGUGAGCAGCCGCGCCGCGCCCGCAGUCGCCGGCCCCGCCGACCGACCGACCGCCCAGCCAUCGCCUCCGCCUCCGCCGGCGCAUCGCGGACGCCCAGCAGGUCGGUUAUGUAACGGCGCCAGCCCGCUCGCCCAGGCACCCUGUCCUGUCCUGUCCUGCCCGGGACUGCGCGCAGCACCAGGGCCGGGCCGGGGAAUGAGGGGAGAUUCUUACUUCAUUGGGAUGAGGAGCCUGGGGCAGCAGGGCCACAUCCCGGAAGAUGGAGGACUGUUCUUGCUCUGCUGCAUAGACAGAGACUGGGCCGUGACUCAGUGUUUCACGGAGGAGGCCUUUCAAGCCAUCACGGACUUCACCGACCUCCCCAACUCACUCUUUGCGUGCAACGUCCACCAGUCGGUGUUUGAAGGGGAAGAAAGCAAGGUAAGAAGACUUUCUGCUCCUGAAAUCGAAGGAGAUGCAAUGUCAGUCCCUCGGCACUUCUGUUGCUCCUUUGUGGCUGAGGUUUGGAAGUUUUUGAAAAUGUUCACUUGGUGCGCCUCUCAG